rnacentral:rRNA from 1 species
GACGAACGCUGGCGGCGUGCUUAACACAUGCAAGUCGAGCGGUAAGGCCCUUUCGGGGGUACACGAGCGGCGAACGGGUGAGUAACACGUGGGUGACCUGCCCUCAGCUCUGGGAUAAGCCUGGGAAACCGGGUCUAAUACUGGAUACGACUCCAUGACGCAUGUUGUGGGGUGGAAAGCCUUGUGCGGCUGAGGAUGGGCCCGCGGCCUAUCAGCUUGUUGGUGGGGUGAUGGCCUACCAAGGCGACGACGGGUAGCCGGCCUGAGAGAGCGGUCGGUCACACUGACACUGACAUACGGGUCAGACUCCUACGGGAGGCAGCAGUCGGGAAUUUUGGGCAAUGGGCGAAAGCCUGACCCAGCAACGCCGCGUGAAGGAUGAAAUCCCUCGGGAUGUAAACUUCGCAAGAUUGGGAAGAAUUAGUAGGGGUUAAUACCUCUAUGAUGACGGUACUUUGUAAGCUCCGGCUAACUCCGUGCCAGCCGCCGCGGUAAC